GAUCAUGGCUCAGGACGAACGCUGGCGGCAUGCCUAAUACAUGCAAGUCGAACGCGACCAGCCGGUGCUUGCACUGGCGAAGUCGAGUGGCGAACGGGUGAGUAACACGUGAGAAACCUACCCUGGAGUGGGGAAUAACUCGAAGAAAUUCGAGCUAAUACCGCAUACCUUCUUACCGUCGAAUGGUGGUUUGAAGAAAGAUUUAUCGCUCUGGGAGGGUCUCGCGGCCUAUCAGCUAGUUGGUGAGGUAAACGGCUCACCAAGGCAUCGACGGGUAGCUGGUCUGAGAGGACGAUCAGCCACACUGGAACUGAGACACGGUCCAGACUCCUACGGGAGGCAGCAGUAGGGAAUCUUGCGCAAUGGGCGAAAGCCCUGACGCAGCAAUGCCGCGUGCGGGACGAAGGCCCUAGGGUCGUAAGCCGCUUUCAGUAGGGACGAAAAUGACGGUACCUGCAGAAGAAGCUCCGGCCAACUACGUG
rnacentral:rRNA from 1 species